rnacentral:rRNA from 1 species
AGCGAACGCUGGCGGCAGGCUUAACACAUGCAAGUCGAGCGGGCACUUCGGUGUCAGCGGCAGACGGGUGAGUAACACGUGGGAACGUACCCUUUGGUUCGGAAUAACGCUGGGAAACUAGCGCUAAUACCGGAUACGCCCUUUUGGGGAAAGGCUUGCUGCCGAAGGAUCGGCCCGCGUCUGAUUAGCUAGUUGGUGGGGUAAUGGCCUACCAAGGCGACGAUCAGUAGCUGGUCUGAGAGGAUGAUCAGCCACACUGGGACUGAGACACGGCCCAGACUCCUACGGGAGGCAGCAGUGGGGAAUAUUGGACAAUGGGCGCAAGCCUGAUCCAGCCAUGCCGCGUGAGUGAUGAAGGCCUUAGGGUUGUAAAGCUCUUUUGUCCGGGACGAUAAUGACGGUACCGGAAGAAUAAGCCCCGGCUAACCUCGUG